AGUUUAAACCCACCAGUGAAUGGCUCGGUUCAAGUGCCGAUGAAGGGCGC
rnacentral:rRNA from 1 species